rnacentral:lncRNA from 1 species
AGAACUGUAGCUUAGAGAAAAGAAUUUGAAGAAAAACACGAUUCAUUUUGUUGACCUCCUAUGGAUUUCACUUAUAUAAUUGAGUAACACGAUCUAAACUUAAAUAGCUGUUUAUCUCUGAAGUUACGUCGUUAAAAAAUAUUGGUUUCAUGGAAAUUUUAGAAUCAGUAUUUAAAAAGUUUAAUUAUAUUAGAGUAUAGUUGACUUACAAUGUUGCAUCAGUUUCAGGUGGAUAGCAAGGUGAAUCAGUCAUACAUAUAAACAUAUCCACUCUUUUUUUCCCAUAUAUGUGACCUCAAGAGAAUUUGCCUAUUAGUUCUGAUCACACUGGCUCCUACUCUCCCACGUUACAGUUUGAAAGCUGUUAUCUGCAAUUUCUUGACCAUCAGGACCUCUUUUGCAUAGGAGUUUUCACUUCCUUCCAUGGCCUAUUUCAAUUUAUCCCUGAUUUUACUUGCCCUGAUUUCCUCUGCCAACUUGCAAGAGUCUGGUCAAAUCUAUUUCUGCCAAGCGUGGCUUCUAGUAUUUUCGUGUUCACUCCUCUGUGAGGAUGUGAUGGACUAACACCCAAACCAGGUCCUCCCGCAUCCCUCCAAUCUGAAAAAUCUCUCAACUUGAUCCUAGACCUUAUUUAUUCAUAUGCCUAAUAAAAGUAUGGAGUAAUAUAAGGUACAAGAAUAGAAACCACUCCCAAAUACACUGCAAAGGUAAAUGUUCCUCCACUGCAAAGGAGGCUAAGGGAUAUUUUUUAGGGUGAUGGAAAUGUCCUAAAAUGGGAUUGUGAUGAGGAUUACAUCGUUCUAUGCAUUUGCUAAAAAUCACUGAACCAUACACUUAAAAUAGGUCCAUUGAAUGGUAUGAAAAUUAUACUACAUAAGUAGAGAGUAGUAUGGUGGCUCCUAGGGGCUGGGGGAGUGGGAAAUGCAGAGAUGUUGGUCAAGAUAUUCCCCCAAAAUUGUUUCACGUACAUAAGAUAUAUAUGUUCUGGAGAUCUAGUUAACUAGUCUGUGACUAGUUAUAUUGUAUUCUUGGGUCAUAUCGUAUUCUUGAAAUACAAUGACUAGUUAUAUUUAUUCUAUAUAUGUAACUAGUUAUAUUGUAUUCUAGGGUCAUAUCGUAUUCUUGAAAUUUGCUAAGAGGGUAGAUUUUAAGUGUUCUCAAAAAAAAAAAAAAGAAAGAAAAAGAAGAUAAGAAAAAUUAAAGAAAAAGGAAAAGAAAACAAGAUGGUAACUAAGUUAGAUGAUGGAUAAACUAGUUAGCUUGAUUGUGGUGAUUAUUUUACAAUUACACCUAUAUCAGAACAUCCAGUUGUCCACCUUGAAUGUAUAAAAUUAUCAUUUGACAAUGAUAUCUUAAUAAAGCUGGGUGGGCGGAAGCAAAUGUUCCCAGCAUAUGAUAUUUUAGUGCUGGUGAUGAUGAUUCAGGGAUAAGAAUACAGGAAAACAGAAGGUAUAUUUAUGACCCAUUUCAUUUUUUCCCUGUUAAAUCUGAUGACAUUUUUAUGGAGUGUCUCCAAUAAAGCCAGUAUUUUACACUGCAGAACUUACACUAAUAAUCCAAGUAUGUCUGUCUGUCUCUCUCCUUUUUAUUUUCAUAGCUAAUAAUUAUUGGAUCUAUAUUAUGGGCCUAGAAUUAUGCUAAUUUCUUUGAAGGGAUAAUUUUACUUAAUUGUGAAAACAACUCUCGGAGGAACAGAUAUUAUUCCAUUAUAUAAAUUUAGAAAUUGAUGCUUUGGUUAGGUAAGUAAUUUUGCCUAGAAAACACAACUGCUAUAGAUGGUAGAGCCAGGGUUCAAAUGCAGGUCUUAAUUAUUAUACAGUUUGAAUUCUUAAUUGUGUUUUACUACUUGAUGAAUAUGGUACUGAUCCAGGUCAAAUUUGGAAAAAAUUAUAAAACCAUAACUAACCUAGGAAACACCUUAUAUUUGGUAACAUAAUGGUAGGGAGAACAUAAAAAUACUAAAAUAAAAUAUAAUGUAAGAUGUUACCAUCUAAUUAAAACAAAGCUCACUAGAGAAUAUGUAUGAUUCUAUUUUAUAACACAAACUAGACAUAAGAAAGAAACUGAAAAUUAUCUCACCAUAAAUUGCUUUCAACAAAUAUUUAAUGACUGCUAUUUAGUCAGUGCACUGAGAAAAGCAAAGGGCCAGAAGGAGUAGCCAGGAAGAUAAUCAGUGGACGAAUGUGAUGAUGCCUCUCUUCUAAAUGCCACAGCCAGGCUGGUAGCAGAGAUGAAGAAAGGGGAGAUCAAUAACUGCUUCCCACAAGACCUUGCAAACCUAAGGCUCUACAUUCUCAGUGUGUGCAAACUUCACCCAGGUUUCAGGGCUUGUUUACUUAACCGCUCAGUACUAUAGCUCUUGACGUUCCCAAGACGUCUGACUGUCAUUUAAGAGCGAUGUAAAAGGAUGUCACAUCGCACCCGAGUUUUUGAGUAUUUUGUUGUUGGAGAACUUUUUCUCAUGACACCAAGUUCUCCAUAUUUGUUGGAAGUAGGAGGGGCAAAGGGUUUUACAAAGACAUGUCUCUUACUCUACAACUAAAUAAAAAAGAGAGAUAGAAACCCAAGCUAUACUAAAGGAAAUAGGACUCUGUCUGCCUGUAUCUCUACUACUCUAAGUAAACUUAUUAUCCUUUCCUAAACAUUCACGGGUACAUGUCUUCUGUGUAUACAAAAUUUCAUGUUUUCUUGCAAGUACAUUU